rnacentral:rRNA from 1 species
UAGGGAAUCUUCGGCAAUGGGGGGAACCCUGACCGAGCAACGCCGCGUGAGUGAAGAAGGUUUUCGGAUCGUAAAGCUCUGUUGUUAAGGAAGAACGAGUGUGAGAAUGGAAAGUUCAUGCUGUGACGGUACUUAACCAGAAAGGGACGGCUAACUACGUGCCAGCAGCCGCGGUAAUACGUAGGUCCCGAGCGUUGUCCGGAUUUAUUGGGCGUAAAGCGCGCGUAGGCGGUUUUUUAAGUCUGAUGUGAAAGCCCACGGCUCAACCGUGGAGGGUCAUUGGAAACUGGAAAACUUGAGUGCAGAAGAGGAAAGUGGAAUUCCAUGUGUAGCGGUGAAAUGCGCAGAGAUAUGGAGGAACACCAGUGGCGAAGGCGACUUUCUGGUCUGUAACUGACGCUGAUGUGCGAAAGCGUGGGGAUCAAACAGG